rnacentral:rRNA from 1 species
CACGUAGGGCGCAAGCGUUGUCCGGAAUUAUUGGGCGUAAAGAGCUCGUAGGCGGUCUGUUACGUCUGCUGUGAAAACCCGGGGCUUAACCCUGGGCUUGCAGUGGAUACGGGCAGACUAGAGGCAGGUAGGGGAGAAUGGAAUUCCCGGUGUAGCGGUGAAAUGCGCAGAUAUCGGGAGGAACACCGGUGGCGAAGGCGGUUCUCUGGGCCUGACCUGACGCUGAGGAGCGGAAGCGUGGGGAGCGAACAGG